rnacentral:rRNA from 1 species
GAUGAACGCUGGCGGCGUGCUUAACACAUGCAAGUCGAGCGAGAAAAGUUCUUCGGAGCUUUUCUAGCGGCGGACGGGUGAGUAACACGUGGGCAACCUGCCUCAUAGAGGGGAAUAGCCUUCCGAAAGGAAGAUUAAUACCGCAUAACAUUGUUGAAAGGCAUCUUUUAACAAUCAAAGGAGCAAUCCGCUAUGAGAUGGGCCUGCGGCGCAUUAGCUAGUUGGUGAGGUAACGGCUCACCAAGGCGACGAUGCGUAGCCGACCUGAGAGGGUGAUCGGCCACAUUGGAACUGAGACACGGUCCAGACUCCUACGGGAGGCAGCAGUGGGGAAUAUUGCACAAUGGGGGAAACCCUGAUGCAGCAACGCCGCGUGAGUGAUGAAGGUCUUCGGAUUGUAAAACUCUGUCUUUAGGGACGAUAAUGACGGUACCUAAGGAGGAAGCCACGGCUAACUACGUGCCAGCGGCCGCCGUAAUAC